rnacentral:rRNA from 1 species
UACGAAGGGGGGCUAGCGUUGCUCGGAAUCACUGGGCGUAAAGCGCACGUAGGCGGAUCUUUAAGUCAGGGGUGAAAUCCCAAGGCUCAACCUUGGAACUGCUGGGCAUACUGGGCGUCUUGGGCCAACUAGGGGCAGCCGGAACAAGCGGUGGAGCGGUGAAAUGCGUAGAUAUCGCUUGGAACGCCGAAGGUGAAAACAGGCUGCUGGGGUUGCGCCGACGCUGAGACACGAAAGCCAGGGGAGCAAACGGG